UACGUAGGGUGCAAGCGUUGUCCGGAAUUAUUGGGCGUAAAGAGCUCGUAGGCGGUUUGUCGCGUCUGCUGUGAAAACUCGGGGCUUAACCCCGGGCCUGCAGUGGGUACGGGCAGACUAGAGUGCGGGAGAGGGAUGCAGAAUUCCAGGUGUAGCGGUGAAAUGCGUAGAUAUCUGGAGGAAUACCGGUGGCGAAGGCGGCAUCCUGGACCGAGAUUGACGCUGAUGAGCGAAAGCUAGGGGAGCAAACGGG
rnacentral:rRNA from 1 species